GACGAAUGCUAUAUCCUUUCCAGGCUGGUCUUCACUCAACUGCUGUACCUACUGCUUUCUGCUUUGGGAAUGCCGAGUGACUUUACCCUGUAGAACCUGGGCCCAUCUGAAAGAGGAAGGGAUGAAGGCCAGCUGGGUUGGCUGGCUGGAUGAGUGUGUUGCACGGAGGGAUCGUUGUUCACAUGCCUCAACACUUUCUGAGACUGGUCAGCUUGGUAGCAUUCAUUCUAGCAGUGGUCAGUCUGCUCCUCUCCUUGAAGCAGAAUGGGAGAGUGUGGAGGAAGGCAGGAGCAGAAGCAAUCUGGAAAUAUGCUUCCAAAUGGGUAAAAAUAAACAAAGAUUCAGACAUCUCAGCAAAACUGGAAGCCAAGGAAUCAAAAGAAACCUUGGGACAAUUGGAAAAGCUUGAUCCCUGUAAGAAGCAAGCCCAUGUGUGUGCCCCAGUAGGAGUGGGGCAGAGACCAAAGGGCUUUGACCCUGCGGCCCCCGCAUCACAGGUGUUCCGAGCAUCUGUGGACCGAACUGAAGCUGGAAGGAAGCAGAACUUACCCAUCAAAGCUCUUCCCAUCACCGCCAUUUAUUAAAGAGAGGCAGU
rnacentral:lncRNA from 1 species